rfam:Globodera pallida, Lindley, WGS project CBXT01000000 data, contig: pathogens_Gpal_scaffold_241_contig_31
GCCCCGGUAGCUCAGUUGGAAGAGUUGCCCACGGAUUGGGUGUAGGUCGUGGGUUCGAGUCCCGCCCGAGGUU